rnacentral:rRNA from 1 species
UACGAAGGGUGCAAGCGUUACUCGGAAUUACUGGGCGUAAAGCGUGCGUAGGUGGUGAGUUAAGUCUGUCGUGAAAGCCCCGGGCUCAACCUGGGAAUGGCGAUGGAUACUGGCUCGCUAGAGUGCGGUAGAGGAGAGUGGAAUUCCCGGUGUAGCAGUGAAAUGCGUAGAGAUCGGGAGGAACACCAGUGGCGAAGGCGACUACCUGGCCUGUUCUUGACGCUGAGGCGCGAAAGCUGGGGGAGCAAACGGG